UGGACAGCAUGGUUACUUUGACAGAAAUUUUGUACGAGAAUUACAAGUGUUUGUGCAUAAUCCACAGUUUCUGGUCAAUACUGAGGUCAAACAGUUUGGUGAAAGAAGAAAACUUCCGCCCCCAUCAGAGAAGGCCAACAGAAGAGACCAUUUUGUAAAGGACGAAAAAAUCCUUAAAGAUGUUAAAGAGGAAUCUAAGAUUUCCGAUGAGCUUGAAGCAGCUACAGAUAGUCGAGACGAUCCAGCGGAAGAACAGAAGGACCCCAAAGAUUCUGAAUCAAACACAGAAAUCAAUCAAGAGGAAAAUUUGGAAAAAAAAGGUUUUGUGACUAGAAUAAUAGACUCCUUUAGAGGUGGGUAUAUUCUUUUUUAGCCAUUUCAAACUUUUUCAAAUGCAACCAGGCGCAUUCUCUGAUUCAUUGACUUACUUUUAAAAUGGAAAAUAUUCAUUCUUCU
rnacentral:sRNA from 1 species